rnacentral:rRNA from 1 species
GAUGAACGCUGGCGGCGUGCCUAAUACAUGCAAGUCGAGCGAACAGACGAGGAGCUUGCUCCUCUGACGUUAGCGGCGGACGGGUGAGUAACACGUGGAUAACCUACCUAUAAGACUGGGAUAACUUCGGGAAACCGGAGCUAAUACCGGAUAAUAUAUUGAACCGCAUGGUUCAAUAGUGAAAGACGGUUUUGCUGUCACUUAUAGAUGGAUCCGCGCCGCAUUAGCUAGUUGGUAAGGUAACGGCUUACCAAGGCGACGAUGCGUAGCCGACCUGAGAGGGUGAUCGGCCACACUGGAACUGAGACACGGUCCAGACUCCUACGGGAGGCAGCAGUAGGGAAUCUUCCGCAAGGGGCGAAAGCCUGACGGAGCAACGCCGCGUGAGUGAUGAAGGUCUUCGGAUCGUAAAACUCUGUUAUUAGGGAAGAACAAAUGUGUAAGUAACGAUGCACGUCUUGACGGGACCUAAUCAGAAAGCCACGGCUAACUACGU